AGCAACAAACCAAAAGUAAUGAUAAGAGACAAUUAUUCCAUUAUUUUAUGUAUUCUGAUCAAACAAUUUUUUAUUCUACACUAACAUCCUCUUAUUUGACGUACAUAGGGUUACAUCAUAACCAUCUUGGGAGUUAUUGAACAUAUUGAGACACAAUAUGGAUGGUUCUAUUUAGGUUGUCAAGGAUGUUGUAGAAAAGUCAAUCCUAUUGACGGUGUCUACAAAUGUGCUUCUUGCAAUGUUGCGUACAAGAAUGCUUUGACAUUGUUCAAGUUACAUUUGUCUGUUCGGGAUGACACCGAUGUUGUCAAUUGUGUUGUCCUUCACAAACUUGCUGAGAGGAUGGUAGACUCUUCUUCUUUGAAGCUGUUAAACAAAUCUGAUCCGGACAAGGACACCUUACCAGCGAAAUUACUUCCAUUUGUGGGCAAAAAUUUGUGUUCUGUCUGCAAUUGUCUGAUUAUAAUAUCAAACAUGGCAGCGAUAUCUUUAUCGUGUCUAAGGUUUUUAAUCCAGAUUAUGUUCUAGAAAAAGAACACAAGCCUGUUGACUCAACCACGGAGACGGCUUUGAGUGACAUGAAGAAUCUGGAUGAUAUUGAUGGGAACCCACCGUGUAACAAUGCUACUCCAACCGUUACACGUAAAAGAAAGUUUAUCGUCAACGAUGAUGAUGAGUCCAACGAUUGAUUAGUGUUUAAUUUAGUGACAAUUUCUCAUAAUUGAUAGUUUUAUUUAUUAUAGUUUGAAUAACUUGGAUGAUUAAUUUUUUAGCAUUAUAUUAGAUUAUAUUAUGGUCAAGGAUAUGUCAAU